AUUGAACGCUGGCGGCAGGCCUAACACAUGCAAGUCGAACGAGUGGCGGACGGGUGAGUAAUGUCUGGGAACCUGCCUGAUGGAGGGGGAUAACUACUGGAAACGGUAGCUAAUACCGCAUCCCAUCAGAUGUGCCCAGAUGGGAUUAGCUAGUUGGUGGGGUAACGGCUCACCAAGGCGACGAUCCCUAGCUGGUCUGAAAGGAUGACCGGCCACACUGGAACGGAGACACGGUCCAGGCUCCUACGGGAGGCAGCAGUGGGGAAUAGUGCACAAUGGGCGCAAUCCUGAUGCAGCCAUGCCGAGUGUAUGAAGAAGGCCUUCGGGUUGUAAAGUACUUUCAGCGGGGAGGCGGUACCCGCAGAAGAAGCACCGGCUAACUCCGUGCCAGCCGCCGCGGUAAUUC
rnacentral:rRNA from 1 species